GGUUAAGUCCCGCAACGAGCGCAACCCUUGUCCUUAGUUACCAGCACGUAAUGGUGGGCACUCUAAGGAGACUGCCGGUGACAAACCGGAGGAAGGUGGGGAUGACGUCAAGUCAUCAUGGCCCUUACGGCCUGGGCUACACACGUGCUACAAUGGUCGGUACAGAGGGUUGCCAAGCCGCGAGGUGGAGCUAAUCCCACAAAACCGAUCGUAGUCCGGAUCGCAGUCUGCAACUCGACUGCGUGAAGUCGGAAUCGCUAGUAAUCGCGAAUCAGAAUGUUGCGGUGAAUACGUUCCCGGGCCUUGUACACACCGCCCGUCAC
rnacentral:rRNA from 1 species